GUCAGGUUGGCCGAGCGGUCUAAGGCGUCAGACUUAAGUUCUGAUUCCCGCGAGGGAGCGUGGGUUCGAACCCCACACCUGACA
rnacentral:tRNA from 1 species